rnacentral:rRNA from 1 species
GAUGAACGCUAGCUACAGGCUUAACACAUGCAAGUCGAGGGACCGGCGCACGGGUGAGUAACACGUAUACAACCUGCCCUUUACUCGGGGACAGCCUUUCGAAAGAAAGAUUAAUACCCGAUAUAAAGGAUGGGGAUGCGUUCAAUUAGGUUGUUGGUGAGGUAACGGCUCACCAAGCCUUCGAUGGAUAGGGGUGCUGAGGGGAAGGUCCCCCACAUCUGAACUGAGACCCGGUCCAAACUCCUACGGGAGGCAGCAGUGAGGAAUAUUGUUCAAUGGGCGCUAGCCUGAACCAGCCAAGUAGCGGGAAGAAUGAAGGCUUAUGGGUCUUAAACUUCUUUUAUAUAAGAAUAUGUAUUAUAUGAAGAAGGAUCGGCUAACUCCGUGCCAGCAGCCGCGGUAAUAC